rnacentral:rRNA from 1 species
GAAGCUGGAAUUGCUAGUAAUGGCAGGUCAGCAUACUGCCGUGAAUACGUUCCCGGGCCCUUGUACACACCGCCCGUCACACCAUGAGAGUUGGGAAUACCCGAAGCCUGUGAGCUAACUUAUAGAGGCAGCAGUCGAAGGUAGAAUCAAUGAUUGGGGUGAAGUCGUAACAAGGUAAC